GGUUUAAAUGUAUAAUCUUAAAUGCUUAAAUGCUGAUUAUAUUGCUUUAUAAGAAAGGCCCAACUCUGAGUACACUCUGUGCCAAAAGUGCUGACAUGAAACUGCAUACUUUUGCAGAGCAUAGGACCAGAAAGUGAAACCAACUAGGCUGUUUGAUCGAAACUUAAAGUGUGGUGUGACGUAGAGAGCAAGUAUAUAAACAACUAGGCUUCCUUUUGUGCUUCAGACCUGGGGUUGUGUGUUUUGUGUUCAGGUCUCCAUAUCCCGGAUAUGUAAAACAAAGAUCAUUUUUAAAGUAAUAAGACCACUUUUGAGCCGUGUCUUUCUUGGCCGUAAAGAAUACGAAAGAACGGAAUAUAAUACUUGGUGCCAGUGACCCGGAUUCUUGUGCGGCUGAGGGGACUAAUUUGGACCUUAAGGUACGAUCUGAUAUGAGGUGGACAACAGACCGGUCUAAAAGAGUAAAGCUGACAGAGAGGAGGUGGAUUCAGAGGUGGAGUCUGUCCAGCUGCCCUGCAAUACCACACUUCAUCUGGCUGAAGGUGCUAAAGUGGAGUGGAUGGACAGUGGUGAUCAUAGGGUUCAUGUAUUUCAGAAUGGCCUGGACCAGCCAGUUGAACAGAGUCAGGAUUACAGAGGACGAACAAAGAUGUAUGCAAACCUGGUGAAAACUGGAGACCUCAGUCUGUUCCUGGACCGCCCCACAGAGAAAGACACAAACAUCUACACCUGCAGCGUCUACAGCAGGGAGGGAAACAUCCUGCUGAUGAAACAAGUGAAGCUCUAUGUCAGAGAAUACAAAUCCUCUAACAUAACAAUAAUCACAGUGGCAUGCGU